UCCUACGGGAGGCAGCAGUGGGGAAUAUUGGACAAUGGGCGAAAGCCUGAUCCAGCAAUGCCGCGUGUGUGAAGAAGGUCUUCGGAUUGUAAAGCACUUUUGGCGGGGACGAUGAUGACGGUACCCGCAGAAUAAGCUCCGGCUAACUUCGUGCCAGCAGCCGCGGUAAUACGAAGGGGGCUAGCGUUGCUCGGAAUGACUGGGCGUAAAGGGCGCGUAGACGGACUGCACAGUCAGGCGUGAAAUUCCUGGGCUUAACCUGGGGACUGCGUCUGAGACGUGUGAUCUAGAGUGAGGAAGAGGGUCGUGGAAUUUCCAGUGUAGAGGUGAGAUUCGUAGAUAUUGGAAAGAACACCGGUGGCGAAGGCGGCGACCUGGUCCUUUACUGACGCUGAGGCGGGAAAGAGUGGGGAGCAAACAGGAA
rnacentral:rRNA from 1 species